AUCCGUUGCAAUCUUUUUCUGGCUGCGUAUUGAAGCUAAACUGUAAGCUAGCAGGUAAUUGUGGAAAAGAAGAUGACUCGAACUAUCGGGAAUAUAACAGGCAGCUUCAAACUCUCUCCUGGCUUUGCAAUCAAAUUUUAGGUUGCAUAUACAGUAUUUUGAUGGGGCGUCUGCGGAGGUUUGGGCGAAGGACACGAGCCUUGACUCUCAAAGCUAGCUGCUCUUCCAGGCCACUGCAAGGUAAAACAUCACAGAACACAGACAGGUUAAAGAGCAGUUUAAAAAUGUGGGUUAACUUAAUAGUUUAUUUCUCUAGUCCUCAGGAUGGACUGUGAUCAUAGGCAAAAAAAAAAGAGUUGGAUAGACAUUAAACAGCAGAGCCAGAUGAUUGUUUUUAAGAGAGGGGUUUGUGUCAGCCAGGGGAUG